AACACACUCGCCCUCUCUCUCACUCUCUCAGACCAGAUUUGCAGAAGAAAAUAAAUCCGUCAUCGAAACUCUUCCGCCAUUGAAACCAGAGCAGUUGGAAGCACCAAUCUGGAAUUUUAGGUUAUAUUUCACAAGGAUUAGGGUUUGGUUUUCACAAGGGUUUUUUCAUGCUAUUUGUGCGGGUAGAAGAUUUAAUCUGAGAUUUCACGAGGAGUUACUGCAGCUGCUAUUGCUAAUCAGUAGUUUUGGGACUAAGCAGACACACUAUCUCUCUAUAUGACUGUGAUUUCCGCUGUUUUAAGAUUGGUGGGGAAACACAUUGUAAAGGUUAACUCAGACGAAGGCCUUGAGGUUAAAUUAUGAGGUUCAGCUGCAGACGGGAGCCCACCCACAACACUGUCACCUACCAUGUUGGUUUUGGACUGGAGAUGCGAGAAAUCCCAUGAUACUCCAUAUGAAGUUAACAUCACUAUUCUAGUGGAAGGUUAUGAGCCCAUUAACUAUAUUUUUACAAAAAUGUGUGGUAAGUUCUUUUAUAUGUUUGUGCAUGCAGUUACUUUUGUAGUAUUUAAAUCUCUAAGUGAAGAUUUAUUAAAAAUAAUAAACAAAAUUCAUUUGAUUUUGACAACUCUCAAGAAAGGAUAUGUUAGUUCAAAAGAAACUUAAAUGUACAUGCUAAAUGUCAUGACAGUCUUAGCAAUUGUGUUUCAGUCAUGGACUCAUGCUCUAUAUGCUCAGCUUCAUGAGCAUCGUUUUUACGUGUAUUGCCUCCUAUGGAAAAGUCGAAUAUAUGAUUUGAUUUUGUAGAAUGCAGUCUAAUGCUAUUUGCACUGCACAUGGUCUAUCAACCAACUGGAGAAGAUCAUAUGGUCUUUGCUUGCUCUCUCUCUAUGUGCUUCAUGGGAGAAUAUGACUCAGAACUACCUGGAAGACUUCUGUAUAAUGUACAAUUCAUAGUAACGUCAAAAGUAUUCUGUUGUGGAGCGUUCAUCUAUAGAACACGUGUUGAACACCUGUUAACUGCUUUGAUAAUUCAAAGACGGUGGAUCCUUACAUAUUCUUUUAUCUGCAGCAUGGGUUGGAAGCUUUACCAGG